rnacentral:rRNA from 1 species
UCGGGUUGUAAAGCACUUUUGUCCGGAAAGAAAACCACUUUUCUAAUACAGAGGUGGGAUGACGGUACCGGAAGAAUAAGCACCGGCUAACUACGUGCCAGCAGCCGCGGUAAUACGUAGGGUGCGAGCGUUAAUCGGAAUUACUGGGCGUAAAGCGUGCGCAGGCGGUUCGCUAAGACCGAUGUGAAAUCCCCGGGCUUAACCUGGGAACUGCAUUGGUGACUGGCGAGCUAGAGUGUGGCAGAGGGGGGUAGAAUUCCACGUGUAGCAGUGAAAUGCGUAGAGAUGUGGAGGAAUACCGAUGGCGAAGGCAGCCCCUGGGCUAACACUGACGCUCAUGCACGAAAGCGUGGGGAGCAAACAGGAUUAGAUACCCUGGUAGUCCACGCCCUAAACGAUGUCAACUAGUUGUUGGGGAUUCAUUUCCUUAGUAACGAAGCUAACGCGUGAAGUUGACCGCCUGGGGAGUACGGUCGCAAGAUUAAAACUCAAAGGAAUUGACGGGGACCCGCACAAGCGGUGGAUGAUGUGGAUUAAUUCGAUGCAACGCGAAAAACCUUACCUACCCUUGACAUGGACGGAAUUCUGCUG